GAUGAAGAACGUAGCGAAAUGCGAUAAGUAAUGUGAAUUGCAGAAUUCAGUGAAUCAUCGAAUCUUUGAACGCACAUUGCGCCCCCUGGUAUUCCGGGGGGCAUGCCUGUCCGAGCGUCAUUACAACCCUCAAGCUCAGCUUGGUAUUGGGCCCCGCCGACCCGGCGGGCCCUAAAGUCAGUGGCGGUGCCGUCCGGCUCCGAGCGUAGUAAUUCUUCUCGCUCUGGAGGUCCGGUCGUGUGCUCGCCAGCAACCCCCAAUUUUUUUCAGGUUGACCUCGGAUCAGGUAGGGAUUCCCGCUGAACUUAAGCAUAUCAAUAAGCGGAGGA
rnacentral:misc_RNA from 1 species